rnacentral:lncRNA from 1 species
UUUUGAUUUGCCCGUUCCUAGUCGUCAUGGGAAAGAAAGGCAGAAAUAAGAAAGAGAUUCUUCCCUAAGAGCUUGUCCAGUACCACCGAUACAAAAAAUGCACUUCGGGUAACCAAAUAUGAACUGGUACCAUGGGUGACGGCGAAAGAGGCAGACUCACGAAAGGAAGAGGCAAAAGGGAAAGAAGUUCUUGUGCAACUCGCAGAAGAAGGCAAAUUCGUAGGCACCUCAGUCAUAGAUAGGCCCGAAAGAGGAAGGGGCUGAGCGGGAAAGAUGCC